UUACAUUUAGUAUUUUGAUCCAUUCUGAGUUAAUUUUUGUGAAGGGUGUGAGGUCUGUCUAGGUUCCCUCGCUCACUCUUUUUUUGUUUGUUGAAAAGAUUAUCAUUUCUACAUUGUGUUGCCUUUGCUCCAUUUGUCAAAAAUCAGGCUCCUCUUGACUGUGACGUUUCCCCAGACUUUCAUGUGUUUUGACGACCUUGGCAGUUUUGAGGAAGACUGGUCAGGUGUGCUGUCAGAUGGCCCUCUUGUAAGCUGUGUGAUUAGGUUAGAUCAGAGUGAUACGUUCGGGAGGAAGACCCAAGAUGUCCAGCGCGAUCUUCUUCACAGCCUGCGGGUUUCCUUCCCUCUGGACACACUGUUUCAGGUCCAGGAGUGCAGCGCUGCCACGCUGCCAGCUGGAACCCUAGGCUCCGCCCCGGGCCUCAGGUGUCCCGCAAAGGGCAGAUGGUUUCUGUGGCCCCGGGAGGGAGACCCGGGCCUGAGAGGACGGCGUUCUAGAAGGCUGGCGGCUUUGAGGACCGCGGACUCCUCCGAGCCGGCGUGGGUUUCAUUCUUCAGUCGCUCUCCUUCAUCCCGUGGCCUGAUUUCCAGAUUCCCUAUGCCUGUCACCCAGGGAGCCCGACCCUGGGCGGCGUCCCGGCUCGCCCCCACUCCCCACUCACCACCCCGUGGCACGCUUGGGGUGGCACACUUGAGCCUGGAGGGCCUAGGGGUGUUUUCAGGGGCCCUUAGCCCACAGAGGAUCCUCUAGCCCUUAGCCCGCGACCAUCCCUGCGCCUGAGCUUCUGCUUCACCUGGCAGACCACACGGAGCGGCGGCCGGAGGAUGGAUGCUGCAUUCGAGAUGUGGGAUGCUGGGCACUGGAGGCCCGGGACGUGGGUCCGGGCGCGCGGAAGGGGCGGGGCUGGGCAGCCUAAGAGGCCGGGCUCGCUCCGGACCGCCCUGCCUCAUGUUCCUCCCCGCGUCCCUCCGGCGCCUGGCGCUUCGUAGCGCCCAAAGGCUGAGAGGGGUUAGAGGCGCCGAUCACAUCCUAGAAGUCGUUUAUGUUGAGCUGUGGAUGUUACAAGCGUUGUUUGGCCAGGACAGCGAGAUGCUGGCGGCCUUCUACGGGUGGUUCAGGGUCUCCCUCGUGGUCAGCGCAGUCCCAGGAUGCGGAGUCCUGGUCUUCAUUAUCGGAUCGCCCCUUUACCAGUAUGUGACCAAGUUCCUCAUCGUGGCAAUGUGUUUCCAGCUUCGGCUCCGCCGAAAUCGAGCCAGAGCUCGGACCAGACAGCUGCUAAAUUCUACGCGUGCCUGGAGGCGCUCGGGUUAAGGCGGGGCCGACCCCGGCCCCCUAAUCCAGAAGACAGGGAAAGCACGGCUUGCGCGAAUGUUGACCUGGAGGUCUGGAGGCUAAGGCUCCAUCCAGUUCUUUUGGCACCAUGAAAGAUGCCGAGGAGGGUAGGGAUGGGGGCACCUGUUCUUAAUUCUGUCCCUUUCGAGUGACUGCAAGCUCAAUCUUUUAAGGAAAUUUUCUAUGGUUUUAUAAUAAAUGUCUUUGUUGAUUUCCUUCCUGUCAGUGUUCUUUCCAGGUUAUGAUGGAGAAAAGAAAAUUUCUGGGAGUCCCCCCCCCCCAACAACUCCCACUCUGGAUGGAGCUCUCCUUUCCUGCCUGGGUCCCUACCAGGAAGAGUGCGGAGCUCCAAGGAGGGAGGUGCCUGUUUGGGGGGUGCUGCUGAGCAACCCAGGCAGAUGGUAAAGAAUCUG